rnacentral:rRNA from 1 species
UCGAACGAUGAACCGCUUUCGGGCGGGGAUUAGUGGCGAACGGGUGAGUAACACGUGGGCAAUCUGCCCUGCACUCUGGGACAAGCCCUGGAAACGGGGUCUAAUACCGGAUAUGACUGUCCAUCGCAUGGUGGAUGGUGUAAAGCUCCGGCGGUGCAGGAUGAGCCCGCGGCCUAUCAGCUUGUUGGUGAGGUAGUGGCUCACCAAGGCGACGACGGGUAGCCGGCCUGAGAGGGCGACCGGCCACACUGGGACUGAGACACGGCCCAGACUCCUACGGGAGGCAGCAGUGGGGAAUAUUGCACAAUGGGCGAAAGCCUGAUGCAGCGACGCCGCGUGAGGGAUGACGGCCUUCGGGUUGUAAACCUCUUUCAGCAGGGAAGAAGCGAAAGUGACGGUACCUGCAGAAGAAGCGCCGGCUAACUACGUGCCAGCAGCCGCGGUAAUACGUAGGGCGCAAGCGUUGUCCGGAAUUAUUGGGCGUAAAGAGCUCGUAGGCGGCUUGUCACGUCGGUUGUGAAAGCCCGGGGCUUAACCCCGGGUCUGCAGUCGAUACGGGCAGGCUAGAGUUCGGUAGGGGAGAUCGGAAUUCCUGGUGUAACGGUGAAAUGCGC